rnacentral:rRNA from 1 species
UACGUAGGUGGCGAGCGUUGUCCGGAUUUACUGGGCGUAAAGAGCGCGCCGGCGGUCGAUUUAGUCGGAUGUGAAAGCCCCCGGCUCACCUGGGGCGGGUCCUUCGAUACUGAUCGACUCGAAGGCGGGAGAGGGAAGCGGAAUUCCCGGUGUAGUGGUGAAAUGCGUAGAUAUCGGGAGGAACACCUGAGGCGAAGGCGGGCUACUGGGCCGAUACUGACGCUGAGGCGCGAAAGCCAGGGGAGCAAACGGG